GAUGAACGCUGGCGGCGUGCCUAACACAUGCAAGUCGAGCGAACGCAUGAGAUGCUUUGUUCUCUGAUUUUAGCGGCGGACGGGAGAGUAACAUGUGGAUAAACUACCUAUAAGACUGGGAUAACUUCGGCAAACCAUAGCUUAUACCCGAUAAUAUAUUGAACUUCAUGGUUCCAACGUGAAAGACGGUCUUGCUGAGGCUUAUAGCUGGCUACGCGUUGCAUUAGUUAGUUGGUAAGGUAACGGCUUACCAAGGCAACGAUGAAUAGCCGACCUGAGAGGGACAUCAGCCACACUGGAACUGAGAAACGGCCCAGACUCCUACGGGAGGCAGCAGUAGGGAAUCUUCCGCAAGGGGCGAAAGCCUGACGGAGCAACGCCGCGUGAGUGAUGAAGGACUUCGGAUGGUAAAGCUCUGUUAUUAGGGAAGAACAUAUGUGUAAGUAACUGUGCACAUCUUGACGGUACCGAAACAAAAAGCCACGGCUAACUACGUG
rnacentral:rRNA from 1 species